CCUUGUGUAGUUAGUCUUUGUUUCGGGGUUCUGGCCCCAGCAGAGCCCCCAGAAUAGCGAAAGGCAGAGAAGCACAGUACGGGUCAUGUUUGGGAAGGUUGCUAACUUUCUGCUGCUGACUGACUCAAUCUGUGCAGACUACUGGUAGAGUCAGUGGAAGUGUGUGUGUGUGUGUGUGUGUGGCUGCAUGUGUGUGUGUGUGUGCUAAAGGGGGUUGCAGAUUGAGUGUGUAAGAGUGUAUGUUUGAAACCCAGAUGUAUCAGAAUAGGACAUCAAUAACGCUCAAAUAAAUCAUCCAUUUAACUAAAUGUAUUUCAUGUAAAUAUGUUUUAUAUAUAUAUGUGUGUGUGUGUGUGUAUACAGAGGGAGAGAGGGGAGGGGGUUUAAUUUGGGUUAACAAAUGAGAGCUAGUAUCCACUAAGUGUCAGGAGAACAGAGAGAGG